rnacentral:lncRNA from 10 species
AGACCAGGUCCGGAUGCUGCGAGUGCUGCGCCUGUCCCGGGACCCUCGACCGGGCGACUCCCCCGGGGCGGGGGUGGCGUGUGGUCUCUAGACAACUGAGGGAAAGUAGACAGACCGUGCUCACCGAUUUAAAAGAACAGCCCUGAAAUGACCCCCGUUACACCCUGUUCUCUUUAGACAAGUUACUUCCACCUGGAGCGGUUUCUGGGCCCGGGUAUGGGGAUUUCUUCACCCGGCCCCCUAGGCUUUCACCUCGGUGGAAUUUCCCGCGCCCCCGCUGGGAUGAUUUAGGGACUGUUGGCUAGAACUGCCCUUGCCUACCGCCCUACUGCGGGCGCUCCCCUGUCUGGGGGGUGCUUGGCUGGGUGUGGAGAAGGAUCAAUCACAGCUGACUCCUCAGAGGUGACAGCCCCUGCCCCCUUAAAAACAAGAAAAGACCUAGCAGUGUGAAGCCAAACUGCACCCCCAGCCCCGGUGACAUGAGGAAACCGUGAGGCGCUCAGCCUGAGGUUCAUCGUUCAUCUCCUUCCUGCUUGGAAUCAGAAUGUCCUCACUGCUGAGUUUCUCCGUUUUAUGGGAUUACAUUAGUGGACAAAGGAGGUGUGUGUGUGUGUUGCUAUAUUUUAUUCAAGCAGAAAAAAACUACCAAAGGAACCUGAAGAUGAUAAUAAUAGCUCACAUCUAUAGAGUGCUUACACAGUGCAGGGCUCUGUUCUAAAUCUCUGUACUUAGAUUUCCUUAUUCAAUCCUCAGGGCAACCCUGUAAAUUGGAAAAUACUGCAUCAUCAUCAUCAUUAUUAUUAUUAUCUCGCUCUGUCACCCAGGCUGGAGUGCAGUGGUGUGAUCACAGCUCAGUGCAACCUCCAACUCCUGGGCUCAAGUGAUUCUCCUGACUACAGGUGCGCGGCCGCCAUACCUGGUGGCGGGGUCUCACUCACUGUGUUGCCCAGGCUGGUCUCCAACUCCUGGGCUCAAGGGAUCCACCCGCCUGGGCUUCCCAAAGUGUUGAGAUUACAGGCUGUGAGCCACUGCACCUGGUCUGCAUUAUUAUUAUUUCCAAGGUACAUGGCUGCUACGUAGAUGAGCUGAUACUCAAACCCUAGCAACUGGUUCCCGGGUUCUUAAUCCGUGGCUAAAAGUAGCAUGUUAAGAAGUUCAGAAGGAGGCAAACUGGAUUUUGAAUCCAGAUACUGCUGUUGACUACCUCUGAGGCACGGGGGCUGGUUACUUAAACACUGUGAGAACCUAUUUCCUCUUUUAAAAUUUAGGCAAUAUUAGGUUGAAUUGCAUUUAAUUGUCAUUUUUUGGAAAUUGAAAACAGCCAAAACAUCAGUAACAAAGAUCAGCAGUUUCAUCUGCUUCAUUGUAAUAGCAGGGGGACAGGCGGGCUCAUAGAAAGUCAUAGAAAGGAGGCCACCCCAGAGUUGUUGUGAGGGACAAAUGAGGUAUUGAUAGCAGCAGUGCCUGACAGCCCUGGGGUUGAAGUUAACUCAGGGACAGAUCUCAACCCAAACAUAGGGGUCAAUGGUGUCCAGGGCUGUGCUAGGCACGCUGGCUGCUCGGUUUCUCCCCUCUCCCCUCUUCCCUCUCCUUUCUCUUUUUCUUUCUCUCUCUCUCUCUUUUCCUUCCUUCCUUCCCCCUCCCCUCUCCUCC